UCUCUCCACCUACGGUACAUGAGACAGACGCGCCAGCGAUGACGCUAAAUGCAAGGACUCUUCUUUUGGCGAGUGAGGUUUACAAACUGCGCAGCACAGCACUCUACUGGUGGACCACCGUUGCACUUGCACAACUAAACAAAACAUGCAAGAAUUAAAUUUCCCUUCCAAAUACCAGCCCGGGCCGUUGGCCAUUCUGGACUUCUCCAGAACGUCAAGAUGGCCAUUCUGCCCCUGCGUGUGUGCGAACCGUGUGAAACAAUCUGGCAACAGGUACCCAAUUCAUUUCCUGGGCCGUUGGUGUUGUCCAUAGACUGUGUAUAAACAGGUCUUGUCACAAUAAUUCUGCUCUGUUGCUUGAGGUUUGAUCGACGAAUUCCGAGAAGAAAUCUAUGUUGUUUUUUUUAUUUCGAUCAAAGUACUUGGUCAUUGUGUAAGAGAUAAAAGAUAUCAGGUAGGGCUGCUCUGCCAAACAUUGGAAUGGCAGUAUUGUUUUGGAGCUGAUCGGUCAAAGAUCCACAUGGGCCUUGAGUGCUCUCUAGUGGGCCACAAAAUGUUUUCAGCUUGAAGUUCAAUUAAAAAAUUUAAAAAAAAAAAA